rnacentral:rRNA from 1 species
UGGGGAAUAUUGGACAAUGGGCGAAAGCCUGAUCCAGCAAUGCCGCGUGAGUGAAGAAGGCCUUAGGGUUGUAAAGCUCUUUUACCCGGGAUGAUAAUGACAGUACCGGGAGAAUAAGCUCCGGCUAACUCCGUGCC